UACGUAGGGGCCAAGCGUUGUUCGGAUUCACUGGGCGUAAAGGGUGCGUAGGCGGUUCUGAAAGUCUGAUGUGAAAUCUCCGGGCCCAACCCGGAAAUGGCAUUAGAAACUGCAGGGCUAGAGGCUUGGAGGGGGAACUGGAAUGCUCGGUGUAGCAGUGAAAUGCGUAGAGAUCGAGCGGAACACCAGUGGCGAAGGCGAGUUCCUGGACAAGACCUGACGCUGAGGCACGAAAGCCAGGGGAGCAAACAGG
rnacentral:rRNA from 1 species